ACAGCCCGGGUAGAAGGAAGGUUUCAGGUGCGCAGCGCUGCGCAUGCGCGGCCACCGCGCCCGGGGGAAGGGUUGAGAGCCGGACCCGGGAGGCCGGCUGGGCUCAGAGCGGAGCAGGGUCAGGAUGGAGGGGGACGUGCUGACUACCCUGAAGGUCGUCAACAUCGGCGAGAGUGGCGUGGGCAAGUCCAGGAGUUCGAGUUGAGAUCAGGUGAGAGCAGUGGAGCUCGAGCAGUGGGUGUUGCAAGCACUUGUGAUAUCACUGAAGCCUUAGAGUUCUCCAGCCUGCUCUUGAGGUUCACAGAUAUUUUCGAUCCAGAACUUGCAGCAGCGAUAGGUAAGCCUAUGUUUAAAAAUUCAAUAGAAAUACCACAUAUUUUCUAGCCUUCAGUCUUUUAUCUAAUUCCUUCUACCCUCCCUCUCCCCACCCCAUUGCUUCCAAGUCUGUCGAAUUAUUUGUCUUGUAAGGCUUAGCUUUGGUUUCAUUAAGUUUCUGGAGCCUUUGUAGAUCACCAAGCAAAAAUAACUUAUUUGUUGUUUCAUGACACUUGGUUAGCACUGUGGGUAUUAUGAUUAUGAUUAAUCUGUACAUAGAUUUC
rnacentral:lncRNA from 1 species